AAAUGAAAUAGUCUAUUUCUCCCUCAAAAGUUCUUCUCCAAAACCCUUCUUCUUCUUCUCUAUCCCUUAUCUCUAUCCCAACUCUUUUCCCUAACCCUCACCUCUCAAUCCUCAUCUCUGCCUAUCUCUCUACCUCUAUUUCUCUUCUCUCUAUCUCAAUCCCAAUUUCUAUCUCUAUUUCCUCACCUCUCUAGCCUCGGUUACCGAUUACGUUACCUCGGAUCCGCGACCAGAAGUACCAAGAACCUGAACCGAGCCAGAAGGGAUAUUACAAUUGGUAUCAGAGCGGCACUGUCCUAGGGCCGUGGGCAGCGGGAAUUCAACAGGAGCAAGAACGUUGGAGUUUCAGCAGCUGUGAGGAAUUACUUCGAACAGUGGAGGCACAACAGGUAACAUCAUCCAACUAGAAUAAUUAAGCAACAGAAGGCUCACACGAGGGUGUACCGAGGUAGUAGCAAGGACUAGUGCUGGUUCUAUUGCAAUUAGAACAGCACCAGGCCUCAGACAAGCAUCAUUGGCACCUCGGCCGAAUUACUGUAGCAGGUGUUAAUUCCAGACCAAACAAUAGUGAAGCAAUCACAGUAGCGUCCAGGGGCAACAAUUGGAAAAAAGAGCGAAAACCGAUUCAAAUUCGAAACCAUGAGAAGUGAGAUCCCAGGGAUCGGUGCUGCGAUAGUCGCGUGAUUCCGAUUCUUAGAAUUGUAGAGUCAGUUGCGACAUAGCUACUUGCGCUGCGAGAAUCAGCUUCGGCUGGAUCUCGACAAAAGGAGCCGUAGCGGAAUCACACUGAUUCUGAGUUUUGCACAGUUCUAGCAGAGCUAAUUUCUGCUCGAUUGUGAAGCUCCCACCUGGUUCCUGCGAACGAUUCUCAAGCAGGUAGAUCCCACAUUGUAUAGCUUAGCAAAAUUGGUUCGGCACGAGGCAACAGAUUUAAAUUCACUAGUAGCUUGUACCAAGGCAAGAGAAGAAUUAGUUACUGUCCAGGGAUAGAAGGCAAAAUGGCUAAUGGAACAAGGUUGCGGCAACAAACCACUAGCUAUAAUCAAAGCUUUGAAGAAGCAUUACAAAGUGCUCGGGUUGUUAAUCAGAAGUUAGAUGUCUUAGUUGAAGCACUACAAAAGGAAGAGGCAAGGAGGCACGAAAUCAUGAUGCAGGAGAAUGCCCGCAGACAUGAACAACUCCUAGAGUUGAUUAGGAGCCGAUUUGUGCAUGCUAGAGAAGAAGAGAUAACAAUGCAAGUUCCAAAAGAAGAGAAAGAGCUAAUACCCAUACCCAUUCCUCUAGAGAAAAGAGUUAGUUCAUUGACUAAUUCCGUAAUCUACCAACCAGCUGCAGUAAAGGACGCCGAGCAAAAACACCAAAUGAAUCUACAGAUUGGGGCCAGCAGGAAGUAUGAAGUGAAAUUGAGAGACGGUGCUAGCAAGCCAGAGGAGCGGCUGAAGCUGCCCGCAGUACAACCACCUCUGCUCAGGCCUGCCUACAAUGCACUUAAUGCCUACACUGCUCCAACAGAAAUGGGUAGUACCGCAGAAGCUGCUGAGGACACAGCCCAUAAUUCUAAAGAAAACAUUGAUCAUGAUCUUAUAGAAGGGGCUGUUGCAAGUAAGCGAGCAACGAUGCAAGGGCGAUGCUAUGGAUACGGAGAGGAAUAUAUUAUAGGAAAGCAAUGCAAGAACAGCUCCCUGCAUGUGUUACAAACACAGAAAAAGGUUGAAAUGGGUGUUGAAUCUGAAACAGCAAAAGAAGAAGAAAGGGAGCUACAAAAAGUAGAUGAAGGGAAUGUCUAUGAGGCUAUAGGUAUCCAGGAGUCAGGCAACCAAACCCAAUUAAUUUUGAAUGAUGAUAGAAACCUACAUAGCCUCAUUGACUUCGGGAUUGCAAAGGCUACCCAAGUUGAAUCUACUACUUUUGCAACCUUGAGAACGAUAGCGGACUGUGAUCACAAGAUGCUAAACAAAAGUUAUUACCCUCAGUUUGCAAAGAAUAAGCGAGAACAUCAGUUCCUUGUUGAUUCAAAAAAAUUGGGGCUCAAAGAUUCAGAUGCAGUGCUUGGAGUUUAUUGGAUGAAGGAAUUUAGGCAAGUGCCUUUUGAUCCAGGACCUAACAAGGUAACAAUUCAUAGUAUUGAAGAAGCUUCUCACAUGCCUAACAUCACAAAUGAAAUGCCAAUGGUAAUCAAGCAUAGAGCACAAUUACUAGCAGCUCAGCCCUAUAUGAUUAAAUCUGGAGCAACAAUGGAGGAGAUGCAUUCUUGUAUACAAAAGCUACAUAGAGAAAUUGAAGAUGAAGGUAAUAAGCCAGCUACACCACAUAGUUGCAAUAGAUCUUCUAUAUUGGGAACAAGUACAGUUUUAAGCCCAGAAAAUAGACCCCUUGCUUAUCUCAGUCCAAUAUGGAACCAAAUUCAUUAUGUGCAGUCCACCUAUGAGAACGAAUUCAUUGCAAUUCUAUGGGAAGAGAGCAAUCUGUAUCAUGCCAAGUCCUUCCCGACAAUGGAAUUUCUGUGGCUCGAUGGAAAUAACACUUGGAAGUGGAUUAGCAGUUAUGAGAAUUACUGUAAGCUACACCAAAUCAGUAAUCAACAAAAGGUGGAAAUUGCAACAAUGUUGAGGCAGCAAAUGAGACCACAAGACUUGCGGGUUCAAAUGCUAAGUCCAAUUCUUAGUCUGGCAGAGGCUUGCUAUGUGUGGGAUUAUGUGAAUGAGUACAAGAAGCUAGGAACUGUGCUUAAGAUGCCUCACCCAUGCUCGCGAUUUCUGGCCUAUGAACAAGACAAACUGCAGGAAUCUGAUGAAUUGAUUGCCUAUCUAAACAAUGGAUUGAAUCAAAAGCAUCAAGGAAGAUCCAUCUAUAAGAUGGAGACAAUUGCAAUUAUGCUGGUGGUGGCCACAUCGGAACAAAAUGUAAAACACAAGCAGUUAGUCAGCAGGAUAAACCAUGGAGACCACAAACAACUACUGGAACAGAAGGAUCACAUUGUUAUCCAGCAACUAGAGCAAAACUGUAAUGUGGGCUUAAGAGCUAAGAAGAAAAUUAGGCUCAAACAAUGCCACUAUGGGCUGUCCCCUGCAAGAUGGUGGAAGAAAGAGCAGGUCAUACACUUCUUUGAAGAACCACCAAACAAGCAACAACAGAGGAAAGAGUAUAAUGCUGAUAAAAGAAGAAGUAAAGGAGUUUUUGAGGUGAAAGAGCAAUUAUGCUUGAAGUUGUUACUCUGUGAGCAACCUAUCAUGUCUCUGGAAGGGUAUCUGAGGCUCACAAUUAACCAAUUUGGACUUUACUAUAUCUCGGAGCAAACAAGAUCGGCGGCGCGCAGGUUGCGACUACCUGAUGGUCCCAAGGGUGAACUCCUGCCCCAACAGGGCCGCCGUCCAUGCUACCAGCCGGAGGAGAUGGUCGAGUGUAGACAUAAUUGGAAAACACCUCAGAUCGGCGUGAAGGGGGGCAAGAAAACAGAACCGAUAUUAGAAAAUGGCUUAAAGAAGCAAUUUUGAAGAAGAAUGUGCCGCGAGGGAAGCAAAUGGGAGUCCCAACCCAGUUCAACAAGUUCCAUCCUUGAGGACAAGGAUGAUUUUAAGGGGAGGGGAUUGUAACAACCCUUGAAGAAUAAAUNUAAUAUAUAUACUUUGAUUUAGAUAUAUUUUAAUAUAUUUUAAUUGUUUUAUAUGCAGGUCGUAUUCGUGAUUUCCCUGUCAUGCUUACCAAACGUCAAACUUUUAUGAAUGCAAGUGGUAAGUCUGUAAGUAAAUACCUCUGACUUAUCCAAAUUAUGUACAACUAUCUGAAGCAAUUUUUAUUAUUAUCCUAUUCCAAUUUUAUGAUGCAAAUUAGGGCUUCUUUAUGUAGGUCGGUUCGCUGGUUUCAUAUUACAAGAUACCACUGAAUCAGGUACUUCCGGUAUAUAUAUCAUAUUGUUGUUAUGCAACUAUUGAUAUUUAGUUCUUACUAUUAGUUUUUUAUGGAUUUUUAGUUUUGUUACUUUGCAGAUGUAUGAUGAUUUGGAUUUACCUUUUGCAAAAUUGCGUCUACUAUAAAAUGUCGAAACUUAAAAUUUUAAUUUUUACAUUUAAAAGUAAAAUUUCAAUAUUUAAAGUUUAGUAUUUGAUUUUUUUAAAUUCAAUUUGUAGUUUAAUAUUUAAAAUAUUGAAUGUUUAAAUUUAAAAUGAAACUUACAAUUUAAAAUUGUAUAUUUUUCCUUAAUUACUAAAACUAAAUUUUAAAAUUUUUAUGUUUUAAAUUUUAAAUUUUAGUUUCUAAAUUGUAGAUCUUAAUUUUAUACUAAAAUUAUAAAUUUUAAAAUUUUGAAAAUUAUAUUUAUUAAUUUACUAAAAUAUAUCAUGAAAUUUCAUAUUACCUAGCUGAAUUCCUAAAAAUUCAAAAUUACAGCGCGUUAUUCAAUACAUAUAAAAUUUUAGAAUUUAAAAAAUUAGAAAUCAACAAAACUCUAUAUAAAAUCAUAUAUUCAAAAUACACAAACUAAAUUAAAAUAAAAUAUAUUUUUGAAAAUUUAAAUUUCCAAAUUGUUAAUUUCAAAUUUCAGAAUUUAAAAAUAAGGGAGUUAGAAAUUUUAAAGUUUAAAUAAAUUACAUAAAUUUUCCACCGGGUUCUGCAACUGGAUGCACCCUUCACUGCUUUUCAAUGAAUUUUUUUCUUUAACAGUGUCACAGCAGGAAGAAGAANGUGCGGCAGGAGGGUCCGACGAGAAGCGCCUUCAAAGAGGCUCAGGCGAGCUUGUCGGAGCAAUCUGGCGAGAGGAGGUCCGGGCGGAGUCCAUGUCGUUGGGGCGAAGGAGAGAGCUAGCGGAUCAGAGGGGCCACACCUUGGAUCGGGGAAAAUUAGCGAACCCAAGAACCGCCGGGUUCCGGAUGGUGCGGAGAAGGACAAGCCCUACGCCCGCUUACCCGAUUACCAUGAGUUAUGGACCGGGAAGCCCAGAAGGAGGGCCCAACUAUCCCGGAUGGUGGCCCAACCAGUCAGCAUCUCAUUUCGUCAUUUUGUUGUUAAGCCCUCAGAGUUUAGUUAGUUUUCAAUUCAGCAUGGAUUCAAGGUAGUAUAAAUACAAGUAUGUAAUACGAACAAAGGCAUCAAUGAAAAUGAAAUAGUCUAUUUCUCCCUCAAAAGUUCUUCUCCAAAACCCUUCUUCUUCUUCUCUAUCCCUUAUCUCUAUCCCAACUCUUUUCCCUAACCCUCACCUCUCAAUCCUCAUCUCUACCUAUCUCUCUACCUCUAUUUCUCUUCUCUCUAUCUCAAUCCCAAUUUCUAUCUCUAUUUCCUCACCUCUCUAGCCUCGGUUACCGAUUACGUUAUCUCGGAUCCGCGACCAGAAGUACCAAGAACCUGAACCGAGCCAU
rnacentral:lncRNA from 1 species